UCCUGAGGUCUCAGCCCUAGAUCAGGAGA
rnacentral:piRNA from 1 species